rnacentral:rRNA from 1 species
CGCGAACGUUGGCGGCGCGCCUAACACAUGCAAGUCGAGGGGCAGCAGGCCCUCCCUUUUGGGAGGGUGCUGGCGACCGGCGAACGGGUGAGUAACGCGUAGCUAACCUACCCCGAGGAUGGGGAUAACCCUCCGAAAGGGGGGCUAAUACCCAAUAAAGAGGCUUAUCUUAGUGAUGAGCCUCCAAAGGGGCAUUGCCCGCCUCGGGAUGGGGCUGCGUCCCAUCAGCUAGUUGGUGAGGUAAUGGCUCACCAAGGCUACGACGGGUAGUUGGUCUGAGAGGAUGGCCAGCCACAGUGGGACUGAGACACGGCCCGCACCCCUACGGGGGGCAGCAGUGGGGAAUAUUGGGCAAUGGCCGAAAGGCUGACCCAGCGACGCCGCGUGGUGGAUGAAGCCCUUCGGGGUGUAAACACCUGUCAGGGGGGAAGAUAAUGACGGUACCCCCAGAGGAAGGGACGGCUAACUACGUGCCAGCAGCCGCGGUAAUACGUA